CGUUGCUCGGAAUGACUGGGCGUAAAGGGACGUGUAGGCGGUUUUGUACAGUCAGAUGUGAAAUACCCCGGGCGUUAACCUGGGAGCUGCAUUUGAGACGUUAAGACUAGAGUGUGAGAGAGGGUUGUGGAAUUCCCAGUGUAGAGGUGAAAUUCGUAGAUAUUGGGAAGGAACACCGGUGGCGAAGGCGGCAACCUGGCUCAUGACUGACGCUGAGGCGCGAAAGCGUGGGGAGC
rnacentral:rRNA from 1 species